rnacentral:rRNA from 1 species
UACGGGGGGGGGCAAGCGUUGUUCGGAAUUACUGGGCGUAAAGGGCUCGUAGGCGGCCAACUAAGUCAGACGUGAAAUCCCUCGGCUUAACCGGGGAACUGCGUCUGAUACUGGAUGGCUUGAGUUUGGGAGAGGGAUGCGGAAUUCCCGGUGUAGCGGUGAAAUGCGCAGAUAUCGGGAGGAACACCAAUGGCGAAGGCAGCUCACUGGGACGGCACUGACGCUGAGACGCGAAAGCGUGGGGAGCAAACAGG